AAAUUGAAGAGUUUGAUCAUGGCUCAGAUUGAACGCUGGCGGCAGGCCUAACACAUGCAAGUCGAACGGUAGCACAGAGAGCUUGCUCUCGGGUGACGAGUGGCGGACGGGUGAGUAAUGUCUGGGAAACUGCCUGAUGGAGGGGGAUAACUACU
rnacentral:rRNA from 3 species